rnacentral:rRNA from 1 species
GUAUGCAACCUACCUUGUACAGGGGGAUAGCCCGGAGAAAUCCGGAUUAAUACCGCAUAAUAUGAUUGAUUCGCAUGGAUUAAUUAUUAAACUUUCGGGGGUACAAGAUGGGCAUGCGUAGCAUUAGUUAGUUGGUAAGGUAACGGCUUACCAAGACGAUGAUGCUUAGGGGGUCUGAGAGGAUAGUCCCCCACACUGGUACUGAGACACGGACCAGACUCCUACGGGAGGCAGCAGUGAGGAAUAUUGGUCAAUGGGCGCAAGCCUGAACCAGCCAUGUCGCGUGCAGGAUGACGGCCCUAUGGGUUGUAAACUGCUUUUUUACGGGAAUAAUUGUCGCUACGUGUAGUGAUUUGAAGGUACCGUAUGAAUAAGGAUCGGCUAACUCCGUGCCAGCAGCCGCGGUAAUACGGAGGAUUCGAGCGUUAUCCGGAUUUAUUGGGUUUAAAGGGUCCGUAGGCGGGCAAUUAAGUCAGUGGUGAAAUCCCAGAGCUCAACUCUGGAACUGCCAUUGAUACUGGUUGUCUUGAAUUUAGUUGAGGUGGGCGGAAUACGUUAUGUAGCGGUGAAAUGCAUAGAUAUAACGUAGAACACCGAUUGCGAAGGCAGCUCACUAAACUAAUAUGACGCUGAUGACGAAGGCCCUCCCC